GUGGGGCUUUCUGGUUCUGUCCUAUUCUUCGUCACCCUAGUGGUUCUGUAUGCUGUUUGCAAAAAACCAUGCAGGAAAUCAGACCGAAAGAAGAGAAAUAAGACUGAUGAGAAGUUUUAUAUGGUCAAUAUGGAUUACAUAACUGCAGAUGACAUUGAACCAUCUAUGGGCAUUUAUGAGGAAAUUGAAGAAGGCAUCGAAAGUCAAGGGGCUGCAGCUGUCUCAUUUUACUAUAAUCUUCACCCAAAACCUUAAGCUAAGGUAAAACUAUUCUUAGUUACUUCAGUCAUCUUUCCUUCA